rnacentral:rRNA from 1 species
GUGGGGAAUAUUGCACAAUGGGGGAAACCCUGAUGCAGCAACGCCACGUGUGGGAAGAAGCAUUUCGGUGUGUAAACCACUGUCAUGAGGGAAUAAGGCCCGCCUUCGGACGGGAUUGAAUGUACCUUGAGAGGAAGCACCGGCAAACUUCGUGCCAGCAGCCGCGGUAAUACGAGGGGUGCAAGCGUUGUUCGGAAUUACUGGGCGUAAAGGGAGCGUAGGCGGAGAUUCAAGCGGAUUGUACAAUCCCGGGGCCCAACCCCGGCUCUGCAGUCCGAACUGGAUCUCUUGGAUAGUUCAGGGGCAGGCGGAAUUCCUGGUGUAGCGGUGGAAUGCGUAGAGAUCAGGAAGAACACCGAUGGCGAAGGCAGCCUGCUGGGGACUUAUCGACGCUGAGGCUCGAAAGUGCGGGUAGCAAACAGG